GACUCGGUCCACAGGAAUCAGACAGAAUCACAUGAGAUUCGAUGGAGAAACGUGACCAUCAUCACAUCUGUCCUGCUGAAUGUGCUUCUGAUCUUCACAUUAAUAGGUUUGGUGAAGAGCUACAGUGGAAGAUCAACAAAUUACACUGCAGCUAAAAACUCAAAUAAUCUACAGUGUGCUGAAAUAGAUUUUUCUCUGUGUGCUGCUAACAUCAAACUGAUCCAAGAGCAGAGGACGGCUGUCUUAUACAGACAAUGUGUGAUGUAAAUAUGCAGAAAUUGUGC